rnacentral:lncRNA from 1 species
GCCUGGUUUUGUGACUUUUAUUUUUUUUUAAUUUUUUUAAAUUAUUUUUUAAAGAUUUUAUUUAUUCAUGAGAGAGAGAGAGAGAAAGAGAGAGAGAGAGAGAGGCAGAGACACAGGCAGAGGGAGAAGCGGGCUCUAUGCCGGGACCUGACAUGGGACUCGAUCCAGGGUCUCCAGGAUCACACCCUGGGCUGAAGGCGGUGCUAAACUACUGAGCCACCCGGCCUUCCCGGUUUUGUGACUUUUAGAAAGUUUUCUUCCACUCUUAUUUUUCCCAUGAGCUGUUUCAGAUCAUAGAUUUCAAACUUCCGUAUGGCUCACCCCGAAGCCCACACCUCUCAACGCGAUAACUUACUUCCGCCUUGUUUUGGGGCUUCAUGAAGUCAUUCGUUUCGUACGCUCGUGUCUGGCUUCUUUCCCCGGCCUUGGAUUCGUGAACCUCACGCGGGUUGGCUGCACGGAGCUGUCAUCCGCCCGCUCUUACUGCUGCCCGGAAUCCAUCGUACAGACAUCCUGGCUCUGCCCUGUGUCGGGGGCUGCGGGGCUGUCGCAGCUGUUUCAGCGCUCUUCGUGCCCACGUGGACGACCACUGUCCCGGCACCAUCUGUGGGAAGACCGCCGACCCCACUGCUGGAGGUGGCACCUGCCACAGACGGCGCGCUCUGUGCCUGGCAGGUGUCUGCUGCUCUGCUGCGGCCCGCGGCCCUCUGCCCGCCUCUGUGAACGCACGCGCUGGAACUCCUGCAGCCUCACAACAGGUCUGCACCCGUGGUCGGUCAGCGUGUCGCCCUGUUUUGGGACGCCUGGGUGGCUCAGCAGUUGAGGCUUCAGCUCAGGGCAUGAUCCUGGGAUCGAGUCCUGCGUCGAGCUCCCUGCAUGGAUCCUGCUUCUCCUUCCGCCUGUGUCUCUGCCUCUCUCUCUCUCUCUGUGUCUCUCAUGAAUAAAUAAAAUCUUUAAAAAAAAUUUUUGUCAUCCUGUUUUACUUCACGAAGGCUUUAAAAAAAUUUUUUUUAAAUUUAAUUUAUUUUUUAAGCAGGGCCCAUGCCCAGCGUGGAGCCCAAUGUGGGACUUGAACUCACGACCCCGAAAUCGAGGCGUGAGCUCAAGAGUCGGGACACUUCACCGACUGAGCGCCCCAGGCGCCCCCUUCCCAAAGGUCUUGACUCUUCUUGACCCUUUGCACUUCGGUACACAUUUUAGCAUCAGUUUGUCAUGUAUUGGGGAUGAACUGUUGGCAUUUUGCUUGCAGUUACGCAGUGUAUAGAUUAGUUUGAGGAGACGGGACAGCUUUAUAAAUAUUGAUUCUUCCAAUUUAUGAACACAGGUCCGUCUGUUUAGGUGUAACUUAUUAAUGUUUUCUGGUUUUCUGGCUGGAGGUAUUAUACUUGCUUUGUUAGAUUUAUUCCUCCGUAUUAUAAACACUGCAUACAAACACGUGUGUACAGG